UACGUAGGGUGCAAGCGUUGUCCGGAAUUAUUGGGCGUAAAGAGCUCGUAGGCGGUCUGUCGCGUCUGCUGUGAAAAUCCAGGGCUCAACCCUGGACCUGCAGCGGGUACGGGCAGACUAGAGUGCGGUAGGGGAGAUCGGAAUUCCUGGUGUAGCGGUGAAAUGCGCAGAUAUCAGGAGGAACACCGGUGGCGAAGGCGGAUCUCUGGGCCGUAACUGACGCUGAGGAGCGAAAGCAUGGGGAGCGAACAGG
rnacentral:rRNA from 1 species